ensembl:lncRNA
CCCCAAAGAUGUCUGCUCUAGGAGCUGUUUCUUUUCUUAAAAGUAUCCCGAGGAUCCUGGUGUGCCAUGGUGAGAAAGCAGGAACCCGGAAGGUGACUCUCUAGACAAAACUCAAUCGAGGUGGCCAUUCAGGGUGGGUGCUGAGAACCCACAGUCUGCCAGGGGCUACAGUACCUCAGAAAGAUGGUCACAAGUCCUAAAUCUCAACUGGGCUGUUCUAACUCACUGAACAUGGGUUCACUGACAGAUGUGCACAGAAGCCAAUACUUAUGGCAAGAACUUUAGAGAAAAGAGCUUUACUGCAAGGCCAACUAAUGAAGGAGGCAAGGUAUCAAAUCUCUCUUCAAUCCAGGAGCCUGGGUGCAAUCUAAGGGGUCACGGGAAUUUCUAACUUGGACGCUAAUUGGCUAGUCUUCAAUUAGUAGGUCAAACCAGUUUAAGCUGGUCAAUUUUUUCACAUGCUGUUUCACUAGGCCCCUGACUCUAGCACAUUACCCAAACUCCAAGACAAAGAAAAUCACAGUGAACUAAAUGUUGCCUAGCAAGGACAAUCAUGUAACAUUCACACCAGAGGAUGUGACAUAGAAUGUGCUUGAGGCAACCUCCCUUGAAAUGACCUCUCGCUGAAGGUUCUGCAUUUUCCUAAGGCUCCAAAGCGAGACAGUGUAUUAAAAAAUGAAGACAUCCGUUUGCCGACAAAGGUCCCUAUAGUCAAAGCUAUGGUUUUCCCAGUAGUCAUGUAUGGAUGUGAGAGUUGGACCAUAAAGAAGACUGAGUGCUGAAGAACUGAUGUUUUCAAACUGUGGUCUUAGAGAAGACUCUUGAGAGUCUCUUGGACAGCAAGGAGAUAAAGCCAGUCCAUCCUAAAGGAAAUCAACCCUGAAUAUUUAUUGGAAGGACUGAUGCUGAAUCUGACUCCAAUACUCCGGCCACUUGAUGCGAAGAGCGGACUCAUUGGAAAAGACCCUGACGCUAGGAAUGAAAGAUUGAGGGCAGGAGGAGAAGGGGGCAGCAGAAGGAAAGAUGGUUGGAUGGCAUCACUGACUCAAUGGACAUGAGUCUGAGAAAACUCUUGGAGACAGUGAAGGGCAGGGAAGCCUUGUGAGCUGCAGUCCAUGGGGUCACAAAGAAUCAGACACAACUGAGUGACUGAGGAUGCACACACACACA